rnacentral:rRNA from 1 species
CCUAGUAAGCGCGAGUCGUUAGCUCGCGUUGAUUACGUCCCUGCCCUUUGUACACACCGCCCGUCGCUACUACCGAUUGAAUGGCUUAGUGAGACUUUCGGAUGUGUUUGGAGCCGCUGGCAACAGCGACACCUUGCGCAGAAGUUAUUCAAACUUGGUCAUUUAGAGGAAGUAAAAGUCGUAACAAGGUUUCCGUAGGUGAACCUGCGGAAGGAUCAUUAAAAAAAAUUUAAUGAAUGUCGGGGGUUCUUCCUCCGAGUAUUCAACCAAACCCGCUCGUGUAUUUGUACCAAACAAACAUAAUUUUUAAAAUUAACAAAAUAAUUAAUUAAAAGAAAAAACUUUCAACAACGGAUCUCUUGGCUCUCGCAUCGAUGAAGAACGCAGCGAAAUGCGAUAAGUAGUGUGAAUUGCAGAACUUUGUGAACCAUCGAAUCUUUGAACGCAAAUUGCGCCUUUUUCGGAAGGCAUGUCUGUUUGAGGGCACCAUUUAACAAAUAAUGUGCACCGUUUUGUGKGGUGUGCACACGUUGAUGAGCUUUCCAAGAAAAUAUUUUUUUUUUGGUGGCGCAUAAUGAACAGCGCGAAGGCUUUUUUCAGUUCGAGUGUAGUAAAAUCUUUGCUCGGGUUGUGAAAAGCAUAGUAGCGCAAUGGGUGUGGCAAUUUUGUAAUCCCCUGCCCCAAUGCCACUCUUUCUCGCGAAAGAAUGUUAUAAUCUUCAGGGCCUCAAAUCAGACAAGAGUACCCGCUGAACUUAAGCAUAUCAAUAAGCGGAGGAAAAGAAACUAACAAGGAUUCCCCUAGUAACGGCGAGUGAAGCGGGAACAGCUCAAAUUUUAAAUCUGGCUGCUUCGCAGUCCGAGUUGUAAUUUGAAGGCGUCUGUCGCUUGUGAGACGAUGACACAAGUCCUCUGGAACGUGGCAUCGUAGGGGGUGAGAAUCCCGUCUCUGGUCGUUGUCUUUGCAGGCAUACGGCAGGCGAUCCGAAGAGUCGAGUUGUUUGGGAUUGCAGCUCCAAAUGGGUGGUAAACUCCAUCUAAGGCUAAAUAUUGGCGAGAGACCGAUAGCGAACAAGUACCGUGAGGGAAAGAUGAAAAGAACUUUGAAAAGAGAGUUAAACAGUACGUGAAAUUGUUGAAAGGGAAACGAUUGAAGCCAGUCGUACCGGUGGGUAAUCAGCCUUUCGGCGUGAUUAUGUGGAGCGUGAGGAGUCAAACGCCCUCAUGCCUGCAUAUUCGUGUUCUUUGGGUGUACUUACCCGCAUGGUAGGUUAACAUCAAUUUCGAACGUCAUAAAAUGGUUGGAGGAAUGUAGCUUCGAUCUCGUAUUGAAGUGUUAUAGCCUUCGGCAGAUGUGAUGAUCGGGAUUGAGGAUUGCAACGGAUACCCCUCGGGCUACCCGUCUGAUCUCUGAAAGUUACUCUGGUGCCGAAAGCUCGCUUACGGUCAUCAAAGUUGACGUUCAACAGAUUAGAACGGGAUAAAUUCGUUAAGGAUGUUGACGUAAUGGCUUUAAACGACCCGUCUUGAAACACGGACCAAGGA